UACGUAGGGUGCAAGCGUUGUCCGGAAUUAUUGGGCGUAAAGAGCUCGUAGGCGGUUUGUCGCGUCUGCUGUGAAAACGCGAGGCUCAACCUCGCGCCUGCAGUGGGUACGGGCAGACUAGAGUGUGGUAGGGGAGAUUGGAAUUCCUGGUGUAGCGGUGGAAUGCGCAGAUAUCAGGAGGAACACCCGGAAUGGCGAAGGCAGAUCUCUGGGCCAUUACUGACGCUGGAGGAGCGGAAAGCGUGGGGAGCGAACAGG
rnacentral:rRNA from 1 species